rnacentral:rRNA from 1 species
GAUCUCAAAUCAAGUAAGACUACCCGCUGAACUUAAGCAUAUCAAUAAGCGGAGGAAAAGAAACUAACAAGGAUCCCCUUAGUAACGGCGAGUGAAGCGGGGUGAGCUCAAAUUUAAAAUCUGGCUGGUUUACUAGUCCGAAUUGUAGUUUAAAGAAGCGUUUUCGGUGGCAGCCUGGGUAUAAAUCCUUUGGAAUAGGGUAUCAUAGAGGGUGAGAAUCCCGUCUUUGACUCAGUGCAUGCUACUAUGUGAUACGUUUUCAAAGAGUCGAGUUGUUUGGGAAUGCAGCUCGAAAUGGGUGGUAAAUUUCAUCUAAGGCUAAAUAUUGGCGAGAGACCGAUAGCGAACAAGUACCGUGAGGGAAAGAUGAAAAGAACUUUGAAAAGAGAGUUAAACAGUGCGUGAAAUUGUUGAAAGGGAAACGUUUGACACCAG